rnacentral:rRNA from 1 species
CCAAUAGCGUAUAUUAAAGUUGUUGCAGUUAAAAAGCUCGUAGUUGAAUUUCGAGAUCAAUUUGUUGGUCGUGCCUCGGUACGUACUGGCAAUUUUGAUUUCUCCCUUCUGAAGAACCAUGAUGUCAUUAAUUUGGUGUCAUGGGGAAUCAGGACUGUUACUUUGAAAAAAUUAGAGUGUUUAAAGCAGGCUCGCGCUUGAAUACAUUAGCAUGGAAUAAUGAAAUAGGACGUUUGAUUCCAUUUUGUUGGUUUCUAGGAUCGACGUAAUGAUUAAUAGGGAUAGUUGGGGGCAUUAGUAUUCAAUUGUCAGAGGUGAAAUUCUUGGAUUUAUUGAAGACUAACUACUGCGAAAGCAUUUGCCAAGGAUGUUUUCAUUAAUCAAGAACGAAAGUUAGGGGAUCGAGGACGAUCAGAUACCGUCGUAGUCUUAACCAUAAACUAUGCCGACUAGGGAUCGGAUGAUGUUAAUUUUUUAAUGACUCAUUCGGCGCCUUACG